UACGAAGGGGGCUAGCGUUGUUCGGAAUUACUGGGCGUAAAGCGUAUGCAGGCGGACUUUUAAGUCGGGGGUGAAAUCCCGAGGCUCAACCCUCGGAACUGCCUUCGAUACUGGAAGUCUUGAGUCCGGGAGAGGUGAGUGGAACUCCGAGUGUAGAGGUGAAAUUCGUAGAUAUUCGGAAGAACACCAGUGGCGAAGGCGGCUCACUGGCCCGGUACUGACGCUGAGAUACGAAAAGCGUGGGGAGCAAACAGG
rnacentral:rRNA from 1 species